rnacentral:lncRNA from 1 species
ACGUGUUUUGAAAAUAAUAUUAAUGUGGGACAUCUGGAUUCCACUUUCUCUUUCUCUAUGAUUUUUUGAGUCCCAUAACCAUUUGCCUUCCUUCUUCAGCCUCUCUCUUUUCCGGUCAUCUUCUUGUUCAUCUCCUCCUCCUACUUCGUUGGUUUUCUGUUCAUCUCUUGCAGUCUUGCUGGUUUUCUUCUCUUUCUCUUUUAUUUUAUUUUAUGGAUCAUUAAAUAUUUCUCCUUCCAUCUUUUGUUGUACCAAUGAAUGGCUAUUUGGAUGGGAAAAACAGUCUAAGUUUAUAAUCACUUACUUUAGCUUUAAUCUUCCUUUGGUAUGCUAUCUGUUUAAUUUUGUGCUCAAAAAAUCUAUUUUACUUGUGUUUGGCUUUCAGGGUUUUGUUACUGCAGUUAUUUAUGCCCUCAUUUCUUCCGCUAUUUCUGAUGCAAUAAUUUCCACCUCAAAAGUUCACUAGCACUGACAAAGCUGUGAAUUUUCAAAGGGCCAACCUUCUGUGGUAAGAAAUACUAUCCAGUUGAUUCUGCUAGCUUUAUUAGCUUCCUCUUCUGUUUUUUCCUUGCAUCUGUUUUCCGAUCAUGGGACUUCAAUGAGUUUGUAUUGCUUUUCUCCUAUACUUAGAUGUCUUUGCUGGAUUCUCUACCUGUGUAUCUGAUUUGGUUUGUGUAGAGUAUAUUACUGGAUGAUGUCACUUGAAGCUUGAGUGUGAUUCACUCCAUUUCUUCUGCAUGCAACACUUUGUUGGUCAAGAAUUGGGUAUAUUAACUCCUUAGGUAAAAUUAUUUGUACUAUAGGUGUUCGAUAAAUUUCUUGAAAGAAAUAAAUUUUUGUUAAACUUCUAGAUUUUGCUUCCUUUUGAAGUUUAAGUUUGGUUUUUAUUUUCUUACGGUUGUACUAUAUCUGUCCAUUCGAGAUUUUCAUUUUACAAAAUGAAUUUGGAUUUCAUGAUAAGUGUUAUCACCAGAAAACAAUUUGUUUUGAAGCAUUGAGCAAAGACAAUAAUUUGUACAUGAAAAGAAAAAGUAUUGAACAUGAAGUACAUUUAAGUUUAGAACUAAAUGUUUUUUAUUUCCUGACAUAAUAGUGCCUUUAAUAAUAUUAAAAUUAAUGUUUAUCUCCUCUUCCCAUUUGUGCAUCUUCCUCAGGUUAUAGUAAUGUUUUCGUUGCUUCUUGGUUUCUCAGUUGCAUGUCUCUGUAAUUUUUUGCCUUUGUCCAGCUUUUAUGGUUGCAUUUGUGCUUCUUUGAGAAAAGAUGAACUAUAAGUAAAAAUCAAUUUCUCUUCUUGAUAUGUUUUUUUUUUUGAUUUUGCACCGGGUGUCCGAGUCUCUUUGAGCCCCGACUAAUCCNNN